AUUCCCUUUCUGGAUUUCUUUUCGUUUGGCAGCUGGCAUGUAGCAGUUAGAUCCUAUCUGGUAGCUAGAGCAAAAAGAGUCCCAAAAUGUAGAAUUACUUUUAAGAGCUCUAAAUACUACCUAGACUUCAACUUUAAAAACCUGGAAGAAUCCCAAACCCAGGAGAAAGGAUGUAUGAUGUACAUUAUCGGGCUACUGUUACGGGGAAUAGUUUAAAUACUGAAUAAAACUCAAUGAAGACUUUCAGAAUUAUUUUUGUUCAGACUUUACAGUCUUGUGGGGAAUGCAGAGGUUAGCAAUGACACCUCAAACACUAUACUGUCUUGAUAGGACUUGAAGGUUAGAUCAGGGAAGUACUGGGUAACCUAUCAAAGUCCUGAAAUCAAAAGGCAUCUUUUCUAAAAUAAAUCUCGGUGGGGAGAAUGUACACAUUCUCAUGCUGCUGUAUGUUUUGUCAUAUUCACAGGUAAAAGAAAACUAUGGGCAAUGUCUGAUAAUGCGCCUGUCCUCUACUCAGACUUGCCCCCUUCAAUGACUAGAGUCACUUCUCAAUGACUGGAGGCUCUGCAGAGUGGGGAAGUGAAAACCAGAACCCGCCUCUCCGAAGAUAAAGUUGAAAAAAAGCAAAUGAGCAAAAACAAACAAACAAACAAAAAAUACUCCCUUAACCUGGUAUCAAACAUCCAUCCUAUCUUGUUUUGAAUUGAUCUGGAGAAAAUGGUAGUUGGCAAUGACUCUUAAAUGUAUGACCAAUCAUUUUGCUUUUUUAUAGGUACGUGAAAGACACAGCUUGCCAGAGUGGAAUUCAUGUACCUCCUGAAAUAUUUAAGACACCUGCAGUGAGAUUAUUUUUCCUCUUUUAAUUUGAAGAACCUGCAUUUCUCAGUUCUGAGGCAUUUCUCUGGCGGGGAACUGAACCAUGAAUCUUAUAUGGCAUCAGUAGAGGUUUUAUUUCUCCUGAGGAACAUUAAGAAGUAUUUCCCUCCCUGGGGAUGUGGAUUCUCCAUUCUGAAGAAGCCUGGGUCAUUGGAUGUCUCUUGCACAGAGAACACUUCGGAUGUCUCCGCCAGUGUUCCCAGAAAAGGGAGAUGUUUCCUGUCUGGUAGUACAGAGCAGCUGAUCAUUUCCAUGUUAUGCUGAACACAAAAACUGGACCCACUCUCAUAGUCCUCAGUGUGGGGCACCAUGUGAAUACAAAGAAGACAAUGACUGAAGGAGUUUUAAUCUUCCCUGGCCUCUCAGAUACCUUGGGGGACUCCUGGCCUUGGACCCCCUGCUCCCUGUCAUUUUUCUGACCACUUCUGGUGGGAUCCUGUGCUGUUUGCACUUAAAGUUACUGAAGUGAACCGAAAAUUGUAAGUCUCCAGCAAAGAUUAAAUGGCACAAAAAGGUGAGUAAAUAUAAAC
ensembl:lncRNA